UGGGAAAUAUUGCACAAUGGGCGCAAGCCUGAUGCAGCCAUGCCGCGUGUAUGAAGAAGGCCUUCGGGUUGUAAAGUACUUUCAGCGAGGAGGAAGGCAUUAAGGUUAAUAACCUUGGUGAUUGACGUUACUCGCAGAAGAAGCACCGGCUAACUCCGUGCCAGCAGCCGCGGUAAUACGGAGGGUGCAAGCGUUAAUCGGAAUUACUGGGCGUAAAGCGCACGCAGGCGGUCUGUCAAGUCGGAUGUGAAAUCCCCGGGCUCAACCUGGGAACUGCAUUCGAAACUGGCAGGCUAGAGUCUUGUAGAGGGGGGUAGAAUUCCAGGUGUAGCGGUGAAAUGCGUAGAGAUCUGGAGGAAUACCGGUGGCGAAGGCGGCCCCCUGGACAAAGACUGACGCUCAGGUGCGAAAGCGUGGGGAGCAAACA
rnacentral:rRNA from 1 species